rnacentral:lncRNA from 1 species
CUUCUUCAUUUCUCCAUAAGCUUCUAUCCAUUUCCAUCUUUUUCUCCACCUCUCAAUACUCUACAUUUUCCUUUUCCAUCUUCUUCUAACCUUUAUUCUUCCCAAUUUCACCAUUUUUCUCUCAUACCAUUUCUCCAUUACACAACUCAUCAAUUAAGAACAGAUCUCUCCAUCACUCAUCACUGUUUUCCUUUUUCAUCUGCAAAUCCAACAAAAUUAGGAUAGAUCUGCAAAAAUAAAGAAGAAGAAAGAUGUUCUUUUUGAGGAAGAAGAAGAAGAAAGAUGUAUAUUCAUAAGAAAUUGGGGAAGAAAACAUGGAUAUAUUGGUAACUAUACAUGUCAUUGUAAUCAAAACUGAGUUUCACAAAAGCAGAAGCUAGGAAUACCAGCUUCUGUUGUACUGACUUUUUGAGAUCAAAACUGAGUUUCCUGAAAGCACUUUUCAUUCACCCAAACAAGAAAAAAAAUCUGAAAACCACGUUUGAAAAAGUAAACUCAGUUUUAGCCGCUGAAAAAGUGAUGUCAAACACAUACUUAGUCUUAUGCUUGGCUCAUUUGAGGAGUGGGGUAGGGUACAAGUCCUACAUGUAAGAAAACUAAAUGGUUUAGCAUAUUUUCAUCUCUGUUUUAAUGGUUUAUGUUGA